GCAAACUUGGUCAUUUAGAGGAAGUAAAAGUCGUAACAAGGUAACCGUAGGUGAACCUGCGGUUGGAUCAUUAACAAAUAACUUUAGGCCCCCCGGCUGCCCCAAAAAGGCGAAGGGGAAAACCUAAACAUUUGUGUGCACCAUAUCUGUCUUUGGCAGUUCGAGUGUCCUGAGAUUGCGUAACUGCCUCAGGUACCUACUGAGGUAAACCUCCGGGUUUGCCAAGGUUGGGCUGCCGCCUUUUUGUAUCAACUUUUGUUUUUUUUUUAUUGACUGAAAUUGUUUGAUCUUCACAGAUUGAAUUUAAAUACAACUUUUGACAACGGAUCUCUUGGCUCUCGCAUCGAUGAAGAACGCAGC
rnacentral:misc_RNA from 1 species